CCACCAUGAAGUGUCUGUGCUCUCUGACUGUCUUUGUCAUCAUGAUAGUGAACUGCGCUUCACAGUCAAUAGCACCACUGGAUAACAAAACACAGGUUCAUGCUCUUGAAGACGAGAGAGUUAUUCUCUCCUGCACGUAUAAUGGUAGAGUGAACAAUCUGCAGUGGUAUCGUCAGUAUCCUGGAUCCAGACCAGAGUUUUUGCUGCUGAAAUAUCCAGAAGCAAGUGGUGUAGUCCCUGCAGACCCUCCUUUCCCUCGACUGGAUGCCAAAGUGAAUGGAAGUAGAGUGAAUCUGUUGAUCUCCUCUGCUGCAGUAUCAGACUCUGCACUCUACUACUGUGCUCUGCAGCCCACAGUGACAGGAAACCCAGCUACACUGUACAAAAACUUACUGCAGGAGGAUGCUUUGCAUUUGGUAAUAGAAGCUUUAGGUGUUGCUCAGUUUGCCAGCCAAUCAAUGCAUGAUCAGAUGAAAUAAGAUCAGAGUUGAGAUGCAUGAGCUUCAUUGUGAACUAGGAGUGGGUGGAGCUACAAGUGUUAAGAUACAGAUCAUACAACAUCAGAGAGUCAACACAGCUAUUAAUGUCUGAUGCUGGAGACCUGAACUGUCACUCAGAACAAUCAUGCUGCUCUUCAUCUCUGUUUUCAUCAUUGCUUUCAGGUAUAU